UACGUAGGUGGCAAGCGUUGUCCGGAUUUACUGGGCGUAAAGAGCGCGCAGGCGGUCUUGUAAGUCGAAUGUGAAAGCCCCUGGCUCAACUGGGGAGGGUCAUUCGAUACUGCUCGACUCGAAGGCAGGAGAGGGAAGCGGAAUUCCCGGUGUAGUGGUGAAAUGCGUAGAUAUCGGGAGGAACACCAGUGGCGAAGGCGGCUUUCUGGCCUGUUCUUGACGCUGAGGCGCGAAAGCUAGGGGAGCAAACAGG
rnacentral:rRNA from 1 species